CCCCAAUACCUACCAAAAGAAGGAAUUCCAGAUAGUCUAAACGUACUUAUUUUGAUGCACAGAUUUGGACAUUAGCAUAAAUGUAGCACAACAUGGAAGUGAAAGUGAUUUUGGCCAUAAUCAUGCAGCCCUACUUUCACCUUUUAAAGCUAUGAGUUUUCUGUAUUUGAUUUCCCUAUUGUGUUUCUCUUCCUCUUUCUGUCUUUUUGAGCCUGUAAGAUGUUUAGGCUACAUGUUUGCAUUUACACAAAGAAAAUCAAAAUUUGAAAAAGGAAUGAAUAGCUAGUAAUUUGUAAUUCUUUAGUGUUGUAUAAAUCAUUAUUUAAGACAUGCAUGUCAGCUGCUUUAGAAGCUCCAGGAAAAUGAUUAUUGAAUCUCCAGUAAAUGUUUGGUAGUGGGGCUUAUCCAGUAUCGGAUCACAAAGUUGUUUAUUGUAUGUUUUGUUGUAACAAAGACAUUUUUUUUAUAAAGAUAUUGUUUGCAUCAUUGUAUUUUUCACUGUUCACAUAAUAACAACAAAUAAAAUGAAUCUAUGACUAUU